rnacentral:SRP_RNA from 2 species
GCCGGGUGUGGUGGCGUGCACCUGUAAUCCCAGCUACUCAGGAGGCUGAGGCAGGAGAAUCGCUUGAACCCAGGAGACAGAGGUUCCAGUGAGCCAAGAUCAUGCCACUACACUCCAGCCUGGGCGACACAGCAAGACCCUGUCUCAA